ACAGUAUUGCCCCUCACACGUGAGCAAAGUACGCCCAAAUUGUUACAUUAGUCAUUGAGCUUGCUUAUGUUCUGAAACCUGAGAAGAAACCCAAAAAGUGGAGACCGAGUGAAGAAAUCCAGAUGCGCGUGGAUGGCAGAUUGGGACGUUCCAUUCGCGUAGGUGGUUGAAGAAGACACCCGUGAAGUAGAUCUAGCGCGUCGGAGAAGUAACUGGUUGGUAUCUCCGGUUGAUUUUGUGCGGUGCAGCGAACGUGGAGACAUAGGGUCCUAUUCUUUUGCCGACGGCUGGUCAAAAUUUUCCUGCUAAAUUACACGAUUCUGACUGGUAUUAGCCGAAGAUUUUAUAAUUAUAAACCUCAA